GCAAGGUUCCCUUCGGGGACCGGGACACAGGUGCUGCAUGGCUGUCGUCAGCUCGUGUCGUGAGAUGUUGGGUUAAGUCCCGCAACGAGCGCAACCCUCGCCCUUAGUUGCCAGCAUUCAGUUGGGCACUCUAAGGGGACUGCCGGUGAUAAGCCGAGAGGAAGGUGGGGAUGACGUCAAGUCCUCAUGGCCCUUACGGGCUGGGCUACACACGUGCUACAAUGGUGGUGACAGUGGGCAGCGAGCACGCGAGUGUGAGCUAAUCUCCAAAAGCCAUCUCAGUUCGGAUUGCACUCUGCAACUCGAGUGCAUGAAGUUGGAAUCGCUAGUAAUCGCGGAUCAG
rnacentral:rRNA from 1 species